AUUGAACGCUGGCGGCAGGCCUAACACAUGCAAGUCGAGCGGAUGAAGGGAGCUUGCUCCUGGAUUCAGCGGCGGACGGGUGAGUAAUGCCUAGGAAUCUGCCUGGUAGUGGGGGAUAACGUCCGGAAACGGGCGCUAAUACCGCAUACGUCCUGAGGGAGAAAGUGGGGGAUCUUCGGACCUCACGCUAUCAGAUGAGCCUAGGUCGGAUUAGCUAGUUGGUGGGGUAAAGGCCUACCAAGGCGACGAUCCGUAACUGGUCUGAGAGGAUGAUUAGUCAGACCGGAUCGGAGAAACAGUCAAGCCGCGAACGGGACACAGCAGGGAGGCACAUGGGACGCUGGGCGGAGGCCUGAUGCACCCAGGGCGCGAGUGUGAAGAAGGUCUUCGGCGUGUGAAACAAUGUGAAUUGGGGCGAAGAGAGCUCAGUUGACACGUGCGCGUUUAGGCGAUGCCUAGAGAAAGAAGCCCCGCUAACUUCGUG
rnacentral:rRNA from 1 species